GAACCCGCCGCUCCCGGACCUCAGGUCGUCGGGCUCGUCCAGCCGGUCGUACUCCGCCGCGGACACGAGCCGCAUCAGGACGAAGUCCGGAGACAUUUCUUGUUGCGCGUCAUUCAUCACGGCAGGCUAACGUUAGCUCGCGCUGCUAAUCGGGCUCUUACAUAACGGCUAUAUAAAUAAACAGCGGAGCUAACGGCGGCUAGCUGCUGCAUCCUCCCGGUAACCGGGCACCGACCGACAGCCGCUGGAGGUCCGGACCGGUUCGGUGUUUACCCCGCUGAUGCUGCACGAGCUCACAGCUCUCAGUACGUGUUGCGUGUUGAUCCUCAGGUGUUAGUCUCUCUGGAUUAAAGCGUCUGUCAGAAUGAAUGUGAAACAGGAACAUCUGAGCCGGGUCGCUCAGUGUAAACUGACCCGUGUGAAGGCUGCUGCAGGAUCUUAAUUAAUCCAGAGCCAAUAACAGCAGAACAGAUCUACCAGGGGGACGGGGUCCUGAGGCCCAGAAAGAAUUCCUGUUGUUGUUGUUCAAGACACUAACUCAGUUUAAAGGCCGACAGAACUGAGGAGCAGCAGCGCCCCCUGCAGGAUGUGGUGUAACAGCAGCGGUACUUCACACGUGCAGGUGUUUGGACCGAGUCUGGAUCAGUCCAGUCCGGAGGAGCAGCAGCACCUGAACACACCUGAGAAACAUUUUGUGUUUGUGGUCAGAAGAAGCAGCAGAGCGUUCAGUACAAUAUAGACUUUAUUAGUUCACUAAAGUUGAAUAUGAAAUAAAAAGCAGAUUGGCUUUAAAUGAUUCACAAUUCAGUAAUAAUCUUGUUGCCAGGAUCAUCAUGUCAACAGGAAGUACGGCUGCCGCACCUCUACAAAAUAAAAGCCCUCCGAGGCUGCAAACACUUCACUUUCUGCUCAAAGAAAAUUAUUUGUGAACUUUUAUUUCCCAAAUCAGAAAACUUCCACUCCUGUUUUUUUAUUAUUCAUUUAUUUAUUUUUUUAAAUCUGAGGAAGUCGUUCUGUGUUUGAUUAUCGUUACCGACUGAAAGUGAAGCGUUCAGACCCGGAGACGAGGCGGACCGGCAGCACUGAGCACGCUCAGGUUUCUGCAGCGCCGUCGGGAUCUUCACACCAACAACAAACUCAACGUCCCAAAAAAAGAAAAAAUGUAAAAAUGAUAUCUCCCCGUCAGCGAA